UGCCUUACACAUGCAAGUCGAACGGCAGCGGGCCUUCGGGUGCCGGCGAGUGGCGAACGGUGAGUAAUGCAGUCGGAACGUGCCAUUGAGUGGGGGAUAACGUAGCGAAAGUUGCGCUAAUACCGCAUAUUCUGUGAGCAGGAAAGCAGGGGACCGCAAGGCCUUGCGCUCUUUGAGCGGCCGAUGUCAGAUUAGCUAGUUGGUGAGGUAAAGGCUUACCAAGGCGACGAUCUGUAGCGGGUCUGAGAGGAUGAUCCGCCACACUGGAACUGAGACACGGUCCAGACUCCUACGGGAGGCAGCAGUGGGGAAUUUUGGACAAUGGGGGCAACCCUGAUCCAGCCAUGCCGCGUGAGUGAAGAAGGCCUUCGGGUUGUAAAGCUCUUUCGGCCGGGAAGAAAUCGCAUGGGUGAAUACCCUGUGUGGAUGACGGUACCGGAACAAGAAGCACCGGCUAACUACGUGCCAGCAGCCGCGGUAAUACGUAGGGUGCGAGCGUUAAUCGGAAUUACUGGGC
rnacentral:rRNA from 1 species